rnacentral:rRNA from 1 species
AUUGAACGCUGGCGGCAGGCCUAACACAUGCAAGUCGAACGGUAGCACAAAGGAGCUUGCUCCUUGGGUGACGAGUGGCGGACGGGUGAGUAAUGUCUGGGAAACUGCCCGAUGGAGGGGGAUAACUACUGGAAACGGUAGCUAAUACCGCAUAACGUCGCAAGACCAAAGAGGGGGACCUUCGGGCCUCUUGCCAUCGGCUGUGCCCAGAUGGGAUUAGCUAGUAGGUGGGGUAACGGCUCACCUAGGCGACGAUCCCUAGCUGGUCUGAGAGGAUGACCAGCCACACUGGAACUGAGACACGGUCCAGACUCCUACGGGAGGCAGCAGUGGGGAAUAUUGCACGAUGGGCGCAAGCCUGAUGCAGCCAUGCCGCGUGUAUGAAGAAGGCCUUCGUGUUGUAAAGUACUUUCAGCGAGGAGGAAGGCGUUGUGGUUAAUAACCGCAACGAUUGACGUUACUCGCAGAAGAGGCACCGGCUAACUCCGUGCCAGCAGCCGCGGUAAAAC